rnacentral:lncRNA from 1 species
GAUUUAUGCUUAAUUGUGCUAAAUUUUGGGGUUUGUAUGAGCUUAAUCUUAAGAUAAUCUUCUGGAAAUUGGUGCGUUUUAUGUGUUGUUUUAUGCUUUGCAGGAGAUUUAGGUUUUAUAGAUGGAAGAAUGCAAUUUUGGAGAUUUUUGGGCUAAGAAUGGCGUUUUUAGCAUAGCUCUGUCGCCAGAGCUGAGCUGCGAGCAUAGCUCUGUCGCCAGAGCUAGCCAGAGCUGAAGGCCCGCGCCAGAGCUAAAAGCCCGCGCCAGAGCUGGAAGCCCGCGCUGCAGAGCAGAGCAGAGACGCUCGACAGAGCAGAGCUGCGAAGAUAGCUCUGUAGCAGAGCAAAGCCGACAUCUCCAGAGCAGAGCCGGAAUUUCCAGAGCUGACAUCUCCAGAGCAGAACAAGUGUUACAGAGCAGAGCUAAAAUACGCACCAGAGUAAACCCGGAAG